rnacentral:ribozyme from 14 species
GAGGUGAUUAAUGCUUAUGCCCUUCUUUUUUUGCCCUUUGUCUUCUUUUUUUGCCUUUUUUCUUCUUUU